UAGGGAAUCUUCGGCAAUGGACGAAAGUCUGACCGAGCAACGCCGCGUGAGUGAAGAAGGUUUUCGGAUCGUAAAACUCUGUUGUUAGAGAAGAACAAGGACGUUAGUAACUGAACGUCCCCUGACGGUAUCUAACCAGAAAGCCACGGCUAACUACGUGCCAGCAGCCGCGGUAAUACGUAGGUGGCAAGCGUUGUCCGGAUUUAUUGGGCGUAAAGCGAGCGCAGGCGGUUUCUUAAGUCUGAUGUGAACGCCCCCGGCUCAACCGGGGAGGGUCAUUGGAAACUGGGAGACUUGAGUGCAGAAGAGGAGAGUGGAAUUCCAUGUGUAGCGGUGAAAUGCGUAGAUAUAUGGAGGAACACCAGUGGCGAAGGCGGCUCUCUGAGCUGUAACUGACGCUGAGGCUCGAAAGCGUGGGGAGCAAACAGG
rnacentral:rRNA from 1 species